rnacentral:rRNA from 1 species
UACAGAGGGGGCAAGCGUUAUUCGGAAUGACUGGGCGUAAAGGGCGCGUAGGCGGUUUGUACAGUCAGGUGUGAAAUUCCCGGGCUCAACCUGGGGGCUGCACUUGAUACGUAUGGACUGGAGUGGGGAAGAGGGUCGUGGAAUUCCCAGUGUAGAGGUGAAAUUCGUAGAUAUUGGGAAGAACACCGGUGGCGAAGGCGGCGACCUGGUCCUUGACUGACGCUGAGGCGCGAAAGCGUGGGGAGCAAACAGG